UGGAAUCAUUGUUUCAACUCAAAAGAUAGUCAGAAAUCUUAAUCUUUCAGUAGUCAGUUUUCUUUAUUCGUUGGUUUGCAUAUUUGGGUUUGAUUUUGGUUUAUUUCACUUCCUAGGUACCUACUUUGAAACCCAGCCUAUAGACUUGAGUUCUGCUUUUCAGUUUUGUUUUUUCUUUCCUCACUGUUUUUCCCCUAACUCCAUUUUUGUUGGUUUGUUAAAAAGGUUUGUCCAGAGGGGUUGCCUUUAUCCGGUUUGACAAACGGUCUGAAGCAGAAGAGGCAAUUACCAGUUUCAAUGGUCAUAAACCCCCGGGUUCCUCCGAGCCCAUCACAGUGAAGUUUGCAGCCAAUCCCAACCAGAACAAAAACAUGGCUCUCCUCUCGCAGCUGUACCACUCGCCUGCUAGGAGGUUUGGAGGCCCUGUGCAUCACCAGGCACAGAGAUUCAGGUGGGUCCAGAGGUUGAUGUCCUGGUGGGCUCUUUUUAGUGUGCCACGCUCUUUCAAGCUACAUGUAGCCUUUUAUUUUGAAGGGUGUAUGCUCAGAGGAGAAAAUACUGGGGACACUAGGCUGAUUCAAGCAGUCAUAUCUUUCUAAUUUCGUCAUCACCUCUAUCAGAAAUCUGUCUGUGCACUAGGCAUGGUGAUUCACAUCUGCAGUUCCAUCAUUGAAGAGAAAUAGGCAAGAGAAUCAAGAAUUGAAGAUUGCCUUUGACUAGAAAGCAAGCAAAACCUUUUCUCAAGGGAAAGCAAAUGUAUUGUGUCAGGGGUUGGGGGAAUGAGUUCCCGGACCUCUGCAGGCACCAAAUGCAAGCUCAGCUCCCCAAUAAGAUCUUUGCACAUCACUUACAGAUAUCCUCCUAUAGACUGGGUGAUCCCUAAUACCUAAUGCAGUCUAAGUGCUGUGGUGUGUUAAGUGUGUACACAGACUUAUGAGCUCUUUUUCUUCCCAGAUAAAUUCAGACUGUGAUGGGUCAUAUUCACAGAUAACCCAUGGCUGAGGGGAACAGCCCCAUAUCCUGAGGCACCAACUUCACUGGCUCCCAGUAGUGCUCCAGUGUGUGGUUCCAGUAAUAUGGAGAGUUCAUCAGGAUUGAAGGAUUGUAAUCCUUCAAUCCGUAGAGUACUGUCUUUUUAAAAGAAAGUCUUGGGGUUGGGGAUUUAACUCAAUGGUAGAGCGCUUGCCUAGGAAGCGCAAGGCCCUGGGUUCGGUCCCCAGCUCUGAAAAAAAGAACAA
rnacentral:lncRNA from 1 species